AAUCGUCUCUCUAUCAUGUGAACUAAUUUACCAAUUUUCAGAGGGGUUUCUGGUGGGGGGUAAAUGGGAUAACGGAUGAAAAGCUGCCUUUCUGACCAUCAAAUAUUCUCUAAGUGAAUGUGCCUGAGGGUCAGGGAUAUUGUGGUACUUUAGCUAAUGGGGCCUCCCGCUGCCACGCGAUUUCUGUUCUUAUCCUGAAGCAAAGUUCUUAACCUGAGGUACUAUUUCUGGGUUAGCGGACUCUGUAACCUGAAGUGUUUGUAACCCGAGGUACCACUGUACAUUGAAUAGUUCACCAGAAGGAAUGAUGUAAAAAUUAUACAUCAUUGACUUGUAGCUGCAGCCACAUCUGAGGGUGUGUCCUGGGGGAGGGGACAGAAACAUGCAUGCUGCAAAUGUCUUGAUCAUUUCCAUCUCGUCUGUGAGAGAAGUAGAAGGACUUGAGAGUCAAGAGUGGCAACAUCGGAUUGGGAAGCCAACUCCUGCUCUGCCCUGAUGAAUCUCUUCUGGAUUCUCUGUGAACUUCCUGCUCCUGUUUUAUUCUGGAAUUCAACUUUAUUUCCUGAAGGGGAAAUUAUCGCAGUACUAUGUGUGGCUCCAUCAGAGGUUAUGCUGACCAGAUUUUUUUAAUGUAAAGAUGGGGCUCCUGUUUCAUUCAAGAAAGCAACAUCUCAAAAUGCUCAAUACAUAUUCUAUGCAUCACUGAAGAAUGCUGGCCAAUAUUCCUGUGGUUACCAGCAGAAGGAUGCAAAGAACCAAGUGAAGACAUCUGCCCUCAGUGUUGCUCAGAAUCUGAUUGUCCAGUCAGGUCAGACAAUAUCUCCCUAUGUUUGGAUUCUCUGCUCCUCAUUGGUGCUUCUUCUCCUGGUCUCAGCACCAAUCAUCACCUAUUUCAUCGAGAAGUGUAAUUGCUCCUUGGCUGGACCUAGAAACUUGGGAAUCCCAUUGGAAGAAAAAAAUUAAUGCCUCCAGACUGUGCUUUGUCUGUCCUCCUUCUCUCAUCCAUUUAUUCUCUUACAAUAAUGUUUCCAGUAUUUUACUAAGCCCAGGUCAAGUACUGGUUUUGACUUUUAGGGUUCCAAUAAAUGGCUUGGGUUCAUGAUGUCUGGUUAGCUUGCCAGAAGUUUUUACAGCAGGUACUGAAAGCAAUACAGCUAAGAUGUCUGCAUAGUAUUAAUGAACAUCUUCAAUGGAUAGCCUUUUAUCUACUGGGAUUUAUAUUAUUUUCUGCUUAUUUUAACAUGCCUAUGUUUUAAAAUAUUAUUUGUAUUUCUGUCAAAUAAAUUGUUGA